UCCGCUAAAAUGUGAAGUUGAGUCCUGACC
rnacentral:piRNA from 1 species